rnacentral:rRNA from 1 species
UACGGAGGGUGCAAGCGUUAUCCGGAUUCACUGGGUUUAAAGGGUGCGUAGGUGGGUUGGUAAGUCAGUGGUGAAAUCUCCGGGCUUAACUUGGAAACUGCCAUUGAUACUAUCAGUCUUGAAUAUUGUGGAGGUUAGCGGAAUAUGUCAUGUAGCGGUGAAAUGCUUAGAUAUGACAUAGAACACCAAUUGCGAAGGCAGCUGGCUACGCAUAUAUUGACACUGAGGCACGAAAGCGUGGGGAUCAAACAGG